UCCCCGUUACCGGGGCAGUCUCACAAGACAAAUCUAACUUGUAACGAGGGUUGCGCUCGUUGAGGGACUUAACCCUACAUCUCACGACACGAGCUGACGACGGCCAUGCAUCACCUGUCUCUCGGUCCCUUGCGGGCACUCCCACGUUUCCGUGGGAUUCCGAGGAUGUCAAUCCCUGGUAAGGUUCUUCGCGUAGCUUCGAAUUAAACCACACGCUCCACCGCUUGUGCGGGUCCCCGUCAAUUCCUUUGAGUUUUAAGCUUGCGCUCGUACUCCCCAGGCGGGAUGCUUAACGCGUUAGCUUCGCUACUGAAGGGGUCGAUACCUCCAACAGCCAGCAUCCAUAGUUUACGGCGUGGACUAC
rnacentral:misc_RNA from 1 species